AAUGCAAGGGCAAAAAUUCUGACGAUUCGAUAUUUUCAAAUUUUGAAAAGUUGGACCGUUGAGAGCUGUGUUCGACUCUGUAAAUGGAUUCCUCUUCGUUCGAUUUUCUAAGUAACCAUAAAAUGUUGUAGACCCUAACCUUUCACAUGGCGAUGGCUGAGGAAAUAGGAAUUGGACUCCACCACCGGAGCUGGUUUGGUUGGAAGCUGAUCUCACCUAUGCCCCUUUCUUAUAAAGAUGAGGCUAAUCAAAGAACCAAAAAGAGAGAGCCGACCCUAAUCACCACUCAGAGACCGAAGGGAAACCAAACCCUCGAGACUUUCCGUACAGUGUGAAGCAGAGCAAUCCUGUGUCAAUGGCAGCGAAAGAUCAAAGGGAACCCACAUCUUUGAAUAUUCAUGAAUUCUACGAUGAAAUGGAACCGAUGCCCCCUUCUCUCGGAAUGCCCUCUUUCAGCUACUGUACAUCUGAUCUUAUAGAACCUAACUAAUAUUCAGGAUUCAUUGGUGAAGACUAAGGAUGACUGCAUGCAUGCAAGCGCUGAUCAUAUGUGGGGUCAAAAUCCCUUGUUGCUGUAUAAUCAAGUCAUGUUAAAAAAUUCAGCUUCUGAGUAUCUAUUUGUUCUCGAAACUUGUUACAAAGCGCAUUUUGACAACCAUGUCCUAAUGAGAUUGCAAACGUCUAUGAAUGCUUCAAGGCUGCAUACAAAGUAGAAAAGAUGGUUCAGGGCUGUGUAAAUAAGAAAGUUUGUACUGAUAACUCUGUUUAAUAAAAAAAAAAAAAAAAAGGUAUGAAAGUACGAAAUUACGCUCGGGGAUCGCCCAAGGUUCUCUUCCCUAUUGUGUGGGUUGUGGUGUGCUGUGUGUGUCUCUUUUCUUGUCUCUCAUUUGCUUUCUUUCCCAUUCCAUUUUCUUCUCCCUCCAAUUUCACUCUGUUUGUAUCUCUGCAUUUUGUUUCUGCUUUUCCCUCUCCUCUUUGUCUGCAUCUUUUCUUGCUUGACUUUAUUUCUCUGUUUGGUUUUUUCCUUCCUUUCUCUUUUUUGUUAUCUCUUUACUUGUUCUCAGUGCUUUUUCUUUAUACUUUUUUUUUUAUUUUUUUAUUUUCCCUAGUUUUUUUCUCUCUAUUUUCUUUGUCAAGAACCCCCUACUUUCUUUAUAGUUUUCAAUUCUGUUUCUUUUUUACUUUCUCUUGCUGCAUUUUUUUCGCCCUCACUUUUUGUUUAUUUUUCUCUUAUUAAUUUCUCUAUGCACUUUAUUGCUAGUUUGCUUUCAAAAAUUAUUUAUUCCAUAUGCUAUCGAAAUUUAUUUUUGAUGUUCUUAAAAAUUAAAUAUAGAAAAGGAACUACUAUUGUAAUAUAUACAAAAUAAAAAUAAAAACAUUAAAGGAACUAACUAGUAAACAAAUAGGAAAUUAUGAAGACAAGUUAAGAAAACUAUGCAUGUAAUAAAAAUUUAUAACGAAUUUAAAAAAGAAGGAACUAGUAAACAACAUUAAGUAAUUUUUCAAAAAUUAAUGAAUAAACAAGUUAAGAAAAAGUAAAGAAGAGUGAAGAAACUAGCAAGCCUGUAAGC